rnacentral:rRNA from 1 species
AGAGUUUGAUCCUGGCUCAGGACGAACGCUGGCGGCGUGCUUAACACAUGCAAGUCGAACGAUGAAGCCCAGCUUGCUGGGUGGAUUAGUGGCGAACGGGUGAGUAACACGUGAGUAACCUGCCCUUGACUCUGGGAUAAGCGUUGGAAACGACGUCUAAUACCGGAUACGAGCUUCCACCGCAUGGUGAGUUGCUGGAAAGAAUUUUGGUCAAGGAUGGACUCGCGGCCUAUCAGCUUGUUGGUGAGGUAAUGGCUCACCAAGGCGACGACGGGUAGCCGGCCUGAGAGGGUGACCGGCCACACUGGGACUGAGACACGGCCCAGACUCCUACGGGAGGCAGCAGUGGGGAAUAUUGCACAAUGGGCGAAAGCCUGAUGCAGCAACGCCGCGUGAGGGACGACGGCGUUCGGGUUGUAAACCUCUUUUAGCAGGGAAGAAGCGAAAGUGACGGUACCUGCAGAAAAAGCACCGGCUAACUACGUGCCAGCAGCCGCGGUAAUACGUAGGGUGCAAGCGUUGUCCCGGAAUUAUUGGGCGUAAAGAGCUCGUAGGCGGUUUGUCGCGUCUGCUGUGAAAUCCCGAGGCUCAACCUCGGGUCUGCAGUGGGUACGGGCAGACUACAGUGCGGUAGGGGAGAUUGGAAUUCCUGGUGUACGGUGGAAUGCGCAGAUAUCAGGAGGAACACCGAUGGCGAAGGCAGAUCUCUGGGCCGCUACUGACGCUGAGGAGCGAAAGGGUGGGGAGCAAACAGGCUUAGAUACCCUGGUAGUCCACCCCGUAAACGUUGGGCGCUAGAUGUGGGGACCAUUCCACGGUUUCCGUGUCGUAGCUAACGCAUUAAGCGCCCCGCCUGGGGAGUACGGCCGCAAGGCUAAAACUCAAAGGAAUUGACGGGGGCCCGCACAAGCGGGGAGCAUGCGGAUUAAUUCGAUGCAACGCGAAGAACCUUACCAAGGCUUGACAUAUACGAGAACGGGCCAGAAAUGGUCAACUCUUUGGACACUCGUAAACAGGUGGUGCAUGGUUGUCGUCAGCUCGUGUCGUGAGAUGUUGGGUUAAGUCCCGCAACGAGCGCAACCCUCGUUCUAUGUUGCCAGCACGUAAUGGUGGGAACUCAUGGGAUACUGCCGGGGUCAACUCGGAGGAAGGUGGGGACGACGUCAAAUCAUCAUGCCCCUUAUGUCUUGGGCUUCACGCAUGCUACAAUGGCCAGUACAAAGGGCUGCAAUACCGUAAGGUGGAGCGAAUCCCAAAAAGCUGGUCCCAGUUCGGAUUGAGGUCUGCAACUCGACCUCAUGAAGUCGGAGUCGCUAGUAAUCGCAGAUCAGCAACGCUGCGGUGAAUACGUUCCCGGGCCUUGUACACACCGCCCGUCAAGUCAUGAAAGUCGGUAACACCCGAAGCCAGUGGCGCAA